rnacentral:piRNA from 1 species
UUUUGAUUUUCGUUUUACAUC